rnacentral:rRNA from 1 species
GUGCCAGCCGCCGCGGUAAUACGGAGGGUCCAAGCGUUAUCCGGAAUCAUUGGGUUUAAAGGGUCCGUAGGCGGUUUAAUAAGUCAGUGGUGAAAGCCCAUCGCUCAACGAUGGAACGGCCAUUGAUACUGUUAAACUUGAAUUAUUAGGAAGUAACUAGAAUAUGUAGUGUAGCGGUGAAAUGCUUAGAGAUUACAUGGAAUACCAAUUGCGAAGGCAGGUUACUACUAAUAUAUUGACGCUGAUGGACGAAAGCGUGGGGAGCGAACAGGAUUAGAAACCCUAGUAGUCC